rnacentral:rRNA from 1 species
UACGUAGGGUGCGAGCGUUAAUCGGAAUUACUGGGCGUAAAGCGUGCGCAGGCGGUUUCUUAAGUCAGAUGUGAAAGCCCCGGGCUUAACCUGGGAACUGCGUUUGAAACUGGGAGACUUGAGUGUGGCAGAGGGGGGUGGAAUUCCACGUGUAGCAGAGAAAUGCGUAGAUAUCAGGAGGAAUACCGAUGGCGAAGGCAGGUCUCUGGGCUGACACUGACGCUCAUGCACGAAAGCGUGGGGAGCAAACAGG